rnacentral:SRP_RNA from 1 species
GAUCCGGACUCGCGCGAUCGUGACGCCCGAACCUUGUCAGGACCGGAAGGUAGCAGCAAUAAGGGAUGCUCGCGAUAGGCGCGAACUCCGGGUCGCU